rnacentral:rRNA from 1 species
AGCGAACGCUGGCGGCAGGCUUAACACAUGCAAGUCGAGCGCCCCGCAAGGGGAGCGGCAGACGGGAGAGUAAAACGUGGGAACGUACCUUUCAGUUUGGAACAACCAAGGGAAACUUUGGCUAAUACCGGAUACGCCCGUAAGGGGAAAGAUUUAUCGCUGAAAGAUCGGCCCGCGUCUGAUUAGCUAGUUGGGGGGGUAAUGGCCCACCAAGGCGACGAUCAGUAGCUGGCAUGGGAGGAUGAUCAGCCUCACGGGGACUGAGACACGGCCCAGACUCCUACGGGAGGCAGCAGUGGGGAAUAUUGGACAAUGGGCGCAAGCCUGAUCCAGCCAUGCCGCGUGGAUGAUGAAGGCCUUAGGGUUGUAAAGUCCUUUUAACGUGGAAGAUAAUGACGGUACCCGUAGAAUAAGCCCCGGCUAACUUCGUGCCAGCCGCCGCAGUAAGAC